GCCUGUGCACCUGUUAUUUCCAGUGAGGAGGGGCAGCAGUAAGUCAGAGCUUUUAUCCUGGUGUUUUGUUACAAGGCCAUUGUUCAAAGGACAUGGGGUGGACGAGACUUGCAGGCCACUGCACGUGUACAUGGGUCCAGAGGGGACCGAAAUCUGCAGCUUCAGGGGAAGUGGCGUAGUCCGUGGUAACCCAGGUUCUUUCCAUGCUGUCAAAAUCCGUGCUGCUGGACGAUCAUGCAGAUAUCAGAGAGCAGCAGAUGGUUUGACCUUAUUCUCCUGUUUUGAAGCAAAUUGGUGCCUUUUACAAAUUCUUGCCCUGGUUAAGUCUAGCUCAUUUCUGCCCAUUCAGAAUAAAUCUUUAGUGGCCUUAGGAGCCUGGGCACUAGUAACAUCCAUUUACAAAACUGAUAUCCAGUGUCUGCAUGUGCAGCUGGACAGCUUGUGGGAUCUGGCCGGGGUAAAAAAACCCCUUGUGUGAAUUACGAAUAAAUGCUGUCUGUGCUCUGUGGUGGAUGCUGCUGUCAGCUCUCCAUCUGAAAUAACAUGCAAUCAUGUAAGUAUUGGGAUUCUGCAUAGCAGCUGGAAGGGCAAAGAAACCAAGAGACGGUAACGUUAUUGUGCAAUACAUAAAUCCAAGCUAUACCAAUAUCCUGGGUAAUGUGAGUGUUAUAUACACUUACACACAGAUAUGUGUGUAUCUAUAUAGUUAAUUCCUGAGGUGGAGCUGCUACUGUGUGUGACGUGCUGCUUGAUAAACUUUUUGGACAGAAGUGGAAGACACUGCUCUUUCAUUUGCACAUAAAAUAUAAUGAUUUUAACUUAGCUCUUUGCGUUUGCUCCCCUGAAGACAUAGUGUGCUAUUUUUGGUUAUUUUUUUGUAUUGACAUGGGUUUUUUUGCUGUUUCUUGCAUUGACUUGUUUUUUUCCAUAUCAGCAUAGAAACUUCUGGCAUAGCUGUGCAUCUGGUUUUCUUGGGAAAUAAGGACUGCUGGCAAAUGCACAACUCCAACUCUACCAAGGCAGUCAUGCCAGUAGAGAAAGGGUGGUGGUGGGUGCUGCUCGGGGAGGCAGAGCUGGGCACCAGCGCGGGGCUGCCCGGGGGAGCCCACCUUUUGGCACAGCUCAGCCUGGGGGCUGCGGCCACUCGCAGGGAGGGUUUGGGUUUCACCCUGCCACAGGGGUGCUGGGUGGGCUCCUGUUCCUGCUUCCGGGCAUCGCCGGACCCUGCUUCUCACUGGGGGAGCCCCGAGGUGCUGGCUGCCUGUGGCAGGGGUCCCCAGCAGCCUCCAUCUGGCCCAGCCCCACACUGACGUGGGAAACUGGAAUGGUGGGUAGUGGGUAUGUCUUAACACCCUGCUGGCCUCUUUCACUCCCACUGCCUCCUUGAGGCCAGAAGCCAUGAAAAUGAAAUUGGUAAGAAGCAAUUGCUGAUGGGCUCUUUGGUACCAGCAGGCAACCUUACCUAGCAGAAGGGGCGGCACCAAAUGCUCGCGGGUACUCCACUUGUUUCAAGCUAACCAGUUGCUCUACAUCCCUCCCCCAUCUUCUUUUUUUCCAGUUUGAGACAUUUUUUUGUGAUUAGAGACUUCCUUUCCCCUGAAUUUUACGCACUUCUGCAUUUCUGGCAGGGCUUAAUUCCCAACCAAGAUACAUUUUGCUAACAGCUUGUAACCCUGGAAUGGAAAAUAAGUUUUUCACAUGGAAAAAUAUUUGCCCAGAAUGACCUUAGUUUUAGGCUUAGAACAAGGAACCAGAACAAGAGAAAGUACGCAAAAGCUUUGGGAGCACAUGAUCACCCAUCUCCCUUGACAAUUUGCUUGAACUGAGUGAAAAAGGAUUUGUUCCUUAUGGAAAGCAGAAAUGUUGGAUACUUGAAGGGGCACAGUCCACGUGCUGCUGCUUGUGAGACCAAACCACCCUGUGUAUAAAAAGACAAGAUGCCGAGGAUGUCUUGACUAGUAAAAUCCAGACGGCUGGAAACCUCUUCUGAAAAUCUCUGGGGAUGUAUGCAGAACGAAAAUAAAAAUAUCUGUGCUGGUCUGGAAAUGCACACACAAUGUCUGGUUUGUAUUUCUUAACAGGGGUUUACCUUUGCAUCAAGUGGACUUCGUCACUCGCUGCUGAAGAGAUCUUCCUAACAGGCAUGCGCUUCCCCGUAUCAGCCCAGGGUAAGCCUUCCCCUUCAGUGCAGACCUCUCCGCACUGGGACAGGCAUUCUCUGGUUGAUGUAUGUGCCUUGAUUGUGACCCCAAGGGUGUGCACUGUGGUCCCCAGCGUGAUGGCAGGGCUGCAGUGAGUGUUAGUCUUACCGCUUGCUUUGAAUUAGCUUUUAUUGCUUUGGAAUAGCUUUCGUCGUGUUACUUUACUACAGGGGUGGACACGUGGUACCUUGUGAGACUGGGUUUGCAGGUGAGUGCUACCAUUAACCUGCAUAGUUUUUCUUUUGAUGGUAAGGUAUGUAGCUUUAUACCCUGAGUUCUCCAAACAUGGGCUUUUGUGACGGGAAAAGAACAGCAGUGAUGCAACGUCCUCUCAAGAAAGGCACUAACAGCUUAGUCCAACAGCUCCCUAUUCUCUUCCCUUCCUCUGCUCUCUCUAAAGCUUCCACAUGCGGCACAGAACUGUGUUUUGCACCCUUACAAGCAUCCUGUCCCUCUGCUGAAGCACAUAUGCACUUGCACUCCAUGGAUGAUCAAGCCUGGCUGCACCCUGGCUAUUCGCUAUGGGUGUGCCGCCUUUUGGAACAGGGUCUGGAUGUUAUGACAAUAUAACUCGGCGAUAGCAAAGUAAUGAAAACAAAUAGUUAGUCUUCACAUUCUGGCUCUUGGAAGAGGGAUAUGCCUAACAGCGGGAAGUCAGGGUUUACCUACAAACAGGUGGAACCCAAACCACAGUAGGUGUGAGCUCCACUCGGCUCCAGACUGUUACAUCAGCAAUCCACAGAAAACAUCUAAGGGUUUUAAGUAAGAGGGUUCUAGAAAUAGUAUGUGUGCAUUAGUAACAAUUAUUUUUUUUCUGGGAGUGAUUAAUAGAAAAUGGUAGCGGUGCUAAGUAGUUGGUCUCCCUUCCAGCUCUGUAGUAUUUGUAUUCCUUUGCCUUGCUUAUUGCUUUAUGAGGAUUUUUUCCCCCUGCUUUUGUUUGUAAACAAGGCAGCAGAUGCCAGGACCUAAAACCUCUUAGAGAUCUAAUCCAAAAGCCGUGAAAGUUGGUGAUUAGCUUGCUUAUGAGAACCAACUAACAAGCUAAUAGCCAGGCAUUAUUUUCUGACCUGAAACAGAGGUUGGGUAACUCUUCCACACCUUUACAGCAGUAAACUUGGCUAUAUUUUUGUAAUCCAUAUGGACUGGAUAGUUGACCCUUUGCUCCCUCUCUCCUACCAAAGUGUUUCUGAGUGGUAAUGGUGUAUAAUUUUUAAUGAGAAACUGUGGAUUUGGAGUGAAAGAAAUUUUACAUGAACUGCAGUUGGUCCCCCAGUCAACUUUUGACCUUUUUUUUUGUUGAGGGGAAACCUCAGCAGUAUCUGCAGAGCACUGGUUUGUCGAUUCUACUGCAUGCAGCCUGCUGAGAGCCGCUGUGCUUAGCCUGCCUCGCCUGCUCGCAGGCCUCCCAUGUCCUUGGUGCCCAGCCGUGCCCCUGCCCCUGCUGUGGCAGCUCGCUGCCGCACUAAAAGUCUAAAAUCCUCUGAGUGUCUCCCCUGCCCCUCCCCGAUUGAGAUGGCGAAUGCUGGUUUGGUCUAUCCAAGUCUCUCCGAAAGGAGAUCUGGUGGUAAUGGCAGCAAUAGUAUCUUUUCCUUCUUUGUUUUCUAAAUUGGACAAAAAAUUACCAUGAUUUGAAAAUACUUGCUUCUUUGGUAGGGCUAAAACUGGGGUCUGCAGGUUUGUAAGAGGCCAACAGCAUCUCCUGGUUGCUGACACAUCUACCUGCUGUCGCGGAAAUGAAUAGCUGAGAGCUGCUGAGCCAGGGGGACACCACAUCUCACAGAUGGUGUUUGGAUCAGCCAGCUUGCGACACGCGAUAGAAAUGUUUCUCUUUGGAUCUAGGGUAACCACGAAAAUGUCUCAUUAUAGAAAAUGUCAAGGCAUUUUCCAUAACGGCCCAAAUUUUGCCAUGUUAUUGCUCUUCCUGCUUCAAGAAAAGGCUUUUUGGCAAGUUCGAUUAGCGCGGUGCUACAAGUCAAGCCGGCUGAAGGAGCAUCUCCUGUGUUAUGGUUUGUACUGGCCAACGCGUGCGUUGGCGGGCGGUGGGCAUGUCCCCUGUUGCGGGGUUAGCUGUCGGUAUAACCCUUCAGCCAUGGAAUUCCUACUGUAGCCCCCCCUUUGCACACUGGCGGGACGUGAGUUGGAGUGGCACCUCCUUCCGCGUGGCCCCAACGCCACCCUGAGCAGCUCGGUGCGUCGGGAGCCGUUCUCCCCCGCCAGCCCGGCCGCUCUUACGUGACUCGGCACAGUUCACCGCAAAGCCUCAGUGUUGACAUCAGAAAUAUGACAGCUCUCAUCCGGCCGCAGCCAUUUCCAAAAGCCCUGGCCGGUGGCCCGAGUUACCUGAAGCAGUUACUAAUUAAUUGGUGAUGACGCAAAUGCUGGGUCCGAUUUCAGCCGGCUCCCAGGCAGGAACGACCUGCUCAACUGUUAUUGCUUCCCGUAUCCUGGUGGCAGGCAGGCUGCAAAUUCUCCAGGUGCUGCGCUCCUGCCAUAGCUGGGUCAUACUGGAAGGUGCAUUUCAUUUCUUUCGGAGGGAAAUAUCUCUUUCCUGUGGCCUUUGCUCUGAUUUAAACCUGUGGGAUUUUUUUUUUUUUUUACCCCACCCCUAAUUAUAUGUAGAAACCGUUCCUGGUGCCUGCCUGAGCAUCAUUUCACAUAUGCUCACACCACACACUUUUGUUAUUAUCCAAAACUGUCAAAAACCAUAAUCAGUGGCUUAGACGCUCUCCUUUGCACCCACAGCCCAACUUUCCUGGAGCAGGCACAUCAUACAGGACUGUUUCCCCAUGGCUUGUGCGCUACCCCAUUGACCUCAUUAAACUGGAGCUGUCCUCUGCACCGCUGGUAAUGCUUGUGGAAAACUGCUGUAACAGCUGCUCAAUAGCACUUGAGGCACUUUUAUAUGUCUUUAUUUACGUUUUCACUUCUGAUUUGAUCAUUAUAGCAAAUGCCAUGUGAUGUGAUUUAUGCAAUGGUCAGAGCGUAAGAUCUGUUCUGGGGAUUAGUGGUGGGAAGCCCUUGACCACAGCCCUGGCCUCCUGCCCAGCCUGAUUCUGUCAUGUGGAGUUGGUGGCUCUGCCUCCGUCUCCCUGUGUAAGAUGGGAUAGUAAUGGGGGGACUGCAACGCUUAGGGGUCUAUCAGCCUAGUCUCACCUGCCAUUCAAUUCCUAUGAGUAGUGGGAGAGAAGCGAGGCAGAAACACGGAGCAGAGGCUGCUGAGGUCCCCUGGGAACAGGUGGUGCAGCUUCUGCAGCAGUCGUCUUGCUCCGGUUGGUCUCUCGGGGGAGAGGUUCAGGCUGAGUGAGCAGCUGUGGUAGAUACCGUCUGUACAUGACCCUGAGAAUAUUUUCUGCAUGGCUUUGUCACUUGUAUGGUUUUUCAGUUCUGUCUAAGCUUUUUGCAAAACAAGUGAAGUGGAGCGAAAAGAGAAAAAAAAGCUCCUUGUUUUUAAUGGUAAUGUUUAAAAAUAAUAUAAAACUGCCUUCAGUGGCCAAACCACAGAAAUUGCCAUGCAGAUCCAAGAGCAGGUGUGCCUCCUGGAGCUACUGGAACAGCAUCAGAAACCUGCUGGAUCUCCAGUAGAAAGUGUCCUCUUAAUUCUGGGUCAAAUUCUGCUCCAAAUGCGGUUGAGAGCAAAACUCCUAUUUACUUUAAUGCUUGCUGGCUUUCAUCUAUUGUUUUUGGAAUAAACUGAGAUCAGACGUGAGAAGUGCAAAGUACAUAUGUUAGGGCAGGAGGAAGCCAGCGAUGUGCUGGGAGAGGAUGGGAAUGAACCAGUUGGUAUGUCCAGGUCCUUGGGGUGAGACCUUUCAGGAGUGUACCACAGUGAAGGAUACCCCUGGUCUUUCGGCAUGAGGUUAUGGUUUUCCAUUCUUGCUUAACACUUUUCUAAAUUCCACCCACAGCCCUCCCGGAGGCGGCAGCCAAACGCCCACGUUGCACUCGGCCGUGGCCCACCCCAGCAGGUCAGGUCCGUGGGCUUUUGUGUUGCUCCCUCCAGCCAAGCCGGUGGGUCUGGGGGAGCCACCCCGGUGCCCACCUUGUGAACGUGACCGGCCUGGCAACAUGGCUCCGUGCCUGGCACCAGCAGCGGCGGUCCCGCUGCAUUAACAGGCAUCCCUCCACAUGCAUGGGUAGGUGUUUGUGCUUAGCUGGCUUCAGGGACUUGAAGCUCCAUCAAAAAACAUAUUUACCUUCUUCAGUUUGGGACGUGCAGAAUUUCAGCCAUUUUUUGUGCUGUGGAAGUCAUCCCAUCCCUUCAGGAGCGGCAGGCUGGCUGGGCUGAACACAUUCCUGUAUGGUGAUGGAAGCAGGGGGAGAAAGCAGGUAAGUUGUGUGCACAGGUUACUAAAGGAUGUAUUUCUUAAUUCAAUUUCCUAAGCGUACAGCCAGCCCAGUUUUUGGGUCAGUGUGGCUGUGAGGUGGUAGGUCAUGGUUAACACUAAUGUCCAAACAGAUUCAGACCUUACACCACUCUCCUCCUCUCUAUUUGUACCCCUUGCAAACUUCACAAAUAAUUGACCUAUUAUUCAGUGGGAGAGCUGCUUGCCCGCCCACUUUCCUCCCCCUUAUUUCCCAAAACAUUGCCUUUCACUUAAAGCCUUCCAAAACAUUUCAAACUUGAUACACCAGAGUUCUGAGCACCCUGGCCCUGAUUCAGCAGAGCAUUUAAACGUAGGAAUAACUUCAUUUGAAGUCAAUGCAAUUAUUUGCAUGCUUCAGUUGCUAUGGAGUGAAUUGCUCCAUAUUCAAUAGGGUGGAGGCCAUCGAGCCCUUGCCUGGCUGCGCUGCUCGGGUCGUGGGAUGGGGAGGAAAGCUUGGGCAGCUCCUUCCAGCCCUCACACUGCCACAGGACACAGGGAAGCAGCAGCUAGAAAGGCUAGUUCUGGGCAGGACGGGGCUGUGGUUCCCCAGUGCUGCAUUGUAAAAGGCUUGUUUUCAUUGUAUUCUUAUCAGAGCUUGGGAGAUUAUUCUUAUCAGCGCCUGUAACAUUUUUUAUCAGCUUGAAAGAUGAUUCUUUUAUACCAGGGCAGCUGUGAGCCUCUUGAGGCCCUUCCCCUUUAUUUACCUCUCUGCUGCACUGCUCUGCCUCUCUCCCAUCAGCGUUUGCCCUUUGAUAUGAAAGCUCGGAGAAGACUGACAUUUAAACACCUAACACCAGGCUGGAGCUGUUUUACAGUGCCAGAUGCCUGGAUGUGUGAUUUAGAGCACAGUCUCUUAGUUCCCAAGUGAAAACAUGGCUCAAGUAGGGCUCCAAUGCCUGUUUUAGGAGCUUUAGCCCAGUGGUGCUCAUUUCUGACAUCCCAGGCUGGUGGUAGAACAGAUUGGUAUGCAGCCAUGAUGUUAUGUGCGCUACCUCAGGCUGCUAGUUUGUGGUCAGGGAUGAGCUGAGCAGCUCUUUGGGACAGGAACAUGCUUCUAUUAGGUGUGGAGUCCAGAGUAAGACUGGAGCUCCUGAAUCCUCCUGGAAACAAGCAAUUUAUAAAUAACAACAACAACAAUAAUAAACAAUACUUAUUGCCAUCAUCAUCAUCGUUGUAGUUCUGUUUCAUCUUCUGGGUCAAAACCCCCAACUUGACCAAUAUCCACGUACUUGUAUUUCAGUGUCCUCGUCUGGAAACCUUGGCAGAGCCCUAGCCCAGUCCUCCAUGGAGGAGUGGUGAUGGGAUGGCAUCAGCAGAUGCUCCGGGCCAUGGUGAUGGGGUGGCAUCAGCAGAAGCUCUGGGCCUUUUGCAAAGACUGCCUGUGUUGCCAGCAGGUUACCUUCGCUGCGAGCAAUGCGAGAGACUCCAUAGGAUAGCUUUUGCUGUGCCUGUUAGUGUAAGAGGUACAUGUGUAUCAUCCUAAAGGUGAGACCACAGCCUCAGAGCUGCCAGACAGGGAUUUGGGCUGCAAAAGGUCUCCCAAAGUGGGCCCCAGAGGCCCCCAUGCGAAACACCCAGUGCAAGCACUGGAAGAACAACUACAUCUGCACCAGCCACCAGCGCAGGGCCAACGCAGGCUCAGGAGCGUGUCCCCUGGGCAGCCACCCCGCCUGGCUGCCCGUGUGCUGAGCCCAGCCCUGGCUCCCAGGGUGGGCAGUGGGUCUGCCUCCGCGGGCCUGUCCUCCUGGGCAACAGUGACAGUCCCCGGUUGCUGGCUGGGGGGCAGGAAGGCUGGCAGUGGGGCACAAGCCGUGCUGUGACACUUGGCUCUGGACCUGGACCCUUUUUCUUCCUGUCUUAACAACAGUCAGAGACCAGCCUUGGUCGUUCAUGUUUGCAGUGUAAGAGAGUCCCAAGAAAACUGGUGAAUGCUCGAUAUUUUUUAUUUUCUCAGUCUCCUCCGUUUGUUUCCCCACUAACAGCCUGUGCAUGGGGAUCUGCCCAGUUUUGCUGGUGCUGCUGAGAUAGCAGGGGUGGCUGAGCGAGCAUCCCGGCACGAGGCACAUAGCCAUCUCCACACGCCACGGCAGCCGGGAGGGUCAGAGACAUCUCUGUCAGCAGCAAAACGCCCUUCUGCUCCUUCCCUCUCACUCCAUGUUCUACUGUGCCACAACCAGAAAAGGAGCAAAAAAAGUGUCGUGGUGAAGCAACUGGCCGGGAGAAGGAAAGGAAACACCAGAAAACCACCGAAGGGAGUUGUCUGGAAAUAACCGGUUGUGUUCCUGUCCAGCAUUUUCAGCAGAUAGAUAAAAAUUGGAGCUCAUUUCAUACCAGAAACUGGAUGAGUGAAGAGAAUGCAAGGCACACGUGCAAGGAGCCAGGUCAAAGCUCUGCCUUGGCUUGGGGUCCUGCCCCAACAGCGGCUGCGGCACUGGGAUGGUGAGGUCGAGCUUUCUCCCCCAGCACAUUCGGCUCGAGGGGAGCAGCCUGCACCCCACUGCUGCCCCGCCAUGCUCCCAGUGCUGCAGCUUGGCACCAGUGCAGAACACCCUGGUGGGGUGUGCGGAGCGUCCCUGUGGGGCACAUGGAGCAUCCUGGCGGGGCAUGUAGAGCACAGGAUCAUGCCCCAGGGGUGGGCAGCACUGACCCUGGGCACAGGCAGUGGGGCAGACAUGUGAGCACAUCUCUUUCAGCUGGGGCCAGCCAUAGCCGCCUCAGCAGCAAGGCCCUGCACGUGUUUUUGGAAGCGCUUCGAGACUGUUUCUCCCGAGGGCUGUUGGUGUCUGGGCACAACGCAGGCAAUAAAACCCAAUGGCAGCAGUGCCGCUGGGCCCUCGUGUGUGGCUCCCUCUCCACUGGCAGAUGCAGCCUGAAUUUAA